ACUGGCUCCCAGACUCCCACAGCCUCUGUGCUGCUGCUGCACGAUCACUUCGUUUAUUCUUCUCACUUCUUUGGUUCUUUCCUCUUUCAAACACGCAGGAGCGAGGUCUAUGAAAAUCUAUACAUACUGUGCACGGCCAGAGUGGGAAUAGGAAACAUUCACUGCACAAGGUAUCGAUCAAAAUUAGAACAUCUGGGCUGAGUGCUCUGGCAGCGUGCUGUCCUGUGGCAUGGCUGAGCCGGAGUGACACCGCCACCAUCCACAGAAACAAAACACGAGUCAAGAGCCAGAAGGUUCUGGAGGGGGAGCGUCAUGAUGCCCCCUGCAGCAGCAGCAGCCACCAGGCUCUGGAUGUUGGCAGUGGGCAGAGAGAGAACGAGACCCUGUUGCCCGCCCAGGUGUCCGCCUGCGUUGAAGGGGAUGAGGAU